rnacentral:rRNA from 1 species
CAGUAGCCGCGGGAAUACGUAGGUGGCAAGUGUUGUCCGGAAUUAUUGGGCGUAAAGGGCUCGCAGGCGGUUUCUUAAGUCUGAUGUGAAAGCCCCCGGCUCGACCGGGGAGGGUCAUUGGAAACUGGGAAACUUGAGUGCAGAAGAGGAGAGUGGAAUUCUACGUGUAGCGGUGAAAUGCGUAGAGAUGUGGAGGAACACCAAUGGCGAAGGCGACUCUCUGGUCUGUAACUGACGCUGAGGAGCGAAAGCGUGGGGAGCGAACAGGAUUAGAUACCCCAGUAGUCCCUGUCUCUUAUAC